rnacentral:rRNA from 1 species
CGGCGGACGGGUGAGUAACGCGUGGGUAACCUGCCCUGUACACACGGAUAACAUACCGAAAGGUAUGCUAAUACGGGAUAAUGUACUUUUGUCGCAUGGCACAAGUAUCAAAGCUCCGGCGGUACAGGAUGGACCCGCGUCUAAUUAGCUAGUUGGAGAGGUAAUGGCUCACCAAGGCAACGAUCAGUAGCCGACCUGAGAGGGUGAUCGGCCACAUUCGAACUGAGACACGGUCCAAACUCCUACGGGAGGCAGCAGUGGGGAAUAUUGCACAAUGGGCGAAAGCCUGAUGCAGCAACGCCGCGUGAGCGAUGAAGGCCUUCGGGUCGUAAAGCUCUGUCCUCAAGGAAGAUAAUGACGGUACUUGAGGAGGAAGCCCCGGCUAACUACGUGCCAACAGCCGCGGUAAUACGUAGGGGGCUAGCGUUAUCCGGAAUUACUGGGCGUAAAGGGUGCGUAGGUGGUUUCUUAAGUCAGAGGUGAAAGGCUACGGCUCAACCGUAGUAAGCCUUUGAAACUGACAAACUUGAGUGCAGGACAGGAGAGUAGAAUUCCUAGUGUAGCGGUGAAAUGCGUAGAUAUUAGGAGGAAUACCAGUUGCGAAGGCGGCUCUCUGGACUGUAACUGACACUGAGGCACGAAAGCGUGGGGAGCAAACAGGAUUAGAUACCCUGGUAGUCCACGCCGUAAACGAUGAGUACUAGGUGUCGGGGGUUACCCCCCUCGGUGCCGCAUCUAACGCAUUAAGUACUCCGCCUGGGAAGUACGCUCGCAAGAGUGAAACUCAUAGGAAUUGACGGGGACCCGCACAAGUAGCGGAGCAUGUGGUUUAAUUCGAAGCAACGCGAAGAACCUUACCUAAGCUUGACAUACUUAUGACCGAUACCUAAUAGUAUUUUUCCCUUCGGGGACAUGAGAUACAGGUGGUGCAUGGUUGUCGUCAGCUCCUGUCUUGAGAUGUUGGGUUAAGUCCCGCAACGAGCGCAACCCUUGCCUUUAGGUGCCAGCAUUAACUUGGGCCCUCUAAAGGGACUGCCAGGGAUAACCUGGGAAGAAAGGUGGGGAUGACGUCAAAUCAUCAUGCCCCUUUUGCUUAAGG